ACUUUCAACAAUGGAUCUCUUGGCUCUCGCAUCGAUGAAGAACGCAGCGAAAUGCGAUAAGUAAUGUGAAUUGCAGAAUUCCGUGAAUCAUCAAAUUUUUGAACGCAAAUUGC
rnacentral:rRNA from 1 species